rnacentral:rRNA from 1 species
AUGGCGACUCCUGCCGCCGCUCCGCCGCCAUUCUCCGACGCGACCUCCUACUCCGACUCCGGCUCCGAUGGGUCCGGCGACAGCGAGGAGGAGGCAUCUCCGAUGGUGUGGGAUUCACAAGAUUUACGCGCCCAGGCGGAGCGUAACGAGGAGCAGCUGCUGGCCGCGAUGUCGGUCGAUCCUGGCCGUCUUCCAGCUCUCAACGAUCUGCUCCUCGAGGUGUAUGCCGUGCUGCGCCCCAAGCCCGUUGACUACCAGCAGCGGAACGCCUUGGUUGAUGUCUUCAACAAGAUGGCAACCAGAAUCUUUGGUAACGACAACGGGUUUCCAGUCGUGCAAGCAUUUGGGUCAUUCACAAUGGAUUUAUUUACUCCUAAAAGUGACCUGGAUCUCUCUGUCAACUUCAGUGCAGACAUCGAGGAUCAGUGCCCUCGCAAGAAAAAGAUGAAAGUUGUCAGGAAAUUCGCCAAAGUUCUAUACUCCCUUCAAAGGGACGGAAUUUACUGUGGGGUUUUACCUGUUGUAAGUGCUAAGGUGCCUAUUGUGAAUGUUAUUGAUCGGGGAACUGGCAUCGAGUGUGAUAUUACGGUUGAAAACAAAGAUGGCAUGACAAGAUCGAUGAUCGUCAAAUUGAUUUCUUCACUUGAUGAAAGGUUUCAGAUACUAAGUUACUUGGUCAAGACCUGGGCUAAGAUACAUGAUGUGAAUAGCCCGACAGCGCAGACAAUGAGCUCGAUGUCAAUCAUUUCCUUGGUUGCUUUCCAUCUGCAGACCCGCCAUCCUCCAAUAUUGCCCGCGUUCUCUGCCUUGUUAAAAGAUGGUUCAGAUUUCGCAAGUGUUGAGAAGAACAUCUCGCUCUUUAAGGGGUUUGGGAGCGCAAAUAAAGAAUCGGUAGCUGAACUUUUUGUAACACUAAUGAGUAAGCUACUAUCAGUGGAGAGUUUAUGGGAGCACGGGCUCUGCGCUAGCAAUUUCGAAGCAUCGUGGAUCUCCAAGACCUGGAAGAAAGGAGUUGGUAAUCUAAGUGUUGAAGACUUCUUGGACCGGUCGCAGAACUUUGCGAGGGCUGUAGGGAAGGCGCAGAUGCAGAAGAUCUGCACAUGCCUUGUAGUUUGCGCUUCGAACCUGACAGAUUUCAUGAAGGGCCACAUCGACGCAUCGAAGCUCAAGACCCGCCUGUUUGGGCGCCUGAACCCCGACGAUCUGGUCAGCAGGCCUCGUCCGAGACGCGGCAAGAGGGACCUUAGCCCGGAGGGCAGACGCGGGAUCCAACAAGAGAGGACAAAGCGUGCUGCACGCCACGAGGAACCGGCACACCAAGUUAAUGCUACGCCCGGCACUGCUCGUGUUGCCACGGUUCUGCCUCCCGUUCGACAUUGUCGAUUCCCGGGCAUCCAGUCUGGUGGCGCGCAGUAUGUGCAUAAGCCAUGGUGGCCCUUUAGGAUCGUCCCUUCAGGAUUCGGCUAUGGGAUAUCCGUUCGGUUGCCCCCGAGAGCCCCCCAUCCUGGGCCGGGAAUAUUGGGGCGAGCCCCGGGUGAUCUGAUACGACCGAAUAGUGGAAUUCAGCUGCCGAAGCAAGGCUCGCUUCUCCCGACGCCAUUGCGGGAAAGGUCUGCCAGCACGCGUCGUCCGGGCAGCGGUGAAGACGAGCAGCUCCAUCCAGCACCGUGA